GUCAAAAUUCUGUCAGCCCGAAUCAUGUAACCAAAACCCCGUAAAAACUAAAUAUAAUGUUAACUAUAUAACUUUGUAAAUAAACUGCUCAAAAACUCAAAAAAUGGACUCAAAAUAGUUAUGAUGCGAAAACCAUACAAUAGUUUCAAAAUUCCAAGUGAUUUUACAAACGCUAGGUUACACGAAAAUAGAUGAUUGAAAUCUACAGUUAAACAAUAAGAAAAUAUAUUGAAAACACGUCAAAAUGUUCAAGGAUGACGAUGAUGAUGACGAGGCCACCUUGAGUGCCACGAGGUACCCUGUCAUGCCUUCCCUGGUGGCUCUGCAGCAGAUGAGGAACCGUCUCCACCUGGCAUACCUCGGCAAGAAGCUGAUGAAGUGGACAGCUUUAGCUUCCCGCAAAGAAAUGAGGAGACUUUCUGUGAAGAUUAAUGAUGCCCUGAUGGAUUAUGGUGAGCGGGUGGAAGAAGCCUUCAUUCUCCUGGCCAGAGCAAGAUACUUUCUGCCUCAGCUGAACGGCGUGGUGCUGGAAAGUAUUCCUCGACAGGCAAGUAUCACAGUCAAAACAGCAGGCAGAAGUGUUUCCGGAGUGAAAGUUAAGAAUUUAAACUUGAUUGAGACUUUUCAAGAUCCCUAUCCAUUUUUGGGAUUAAACAAAGGCGGUAUGGUCGUUACCAACUGCAAAACGGCUUGGUCAGAGUUGGUACGACGGAUGGUGCUGGUACUUCAACUGAGAACUACUUUUGACCUGGUCGAAGUAGCCCACAAGAACGCCACCAAGAAAAAGAAUGCAUUAGUGGUAUGUGUCAUACCGAGAAUACGGAAAACGGGAUUGUACAUUAUAAGUGAAUUGGAAGAAAGAGAAAGAGAGGAAAUAUUCAGACUGAAAAGAUUCAAAGAACUCAAAUAUGUACAUAAAGCACCAAACGUAAAAGAUGAAGUAGACAGAAGAAUGUCUUUGUCACCUGAUCUAAUCUUACCAGUAAUUUUCGAAGACUCAAAAAAAGAACUGGUGAUAGAUGCUAUAUCAUUAAAAUUAAAAAUGGUGCCAAAAACCACAGAAACUGAGAUUGUAGAAACUUCAGAGAAGGAAACAGGCAAAGAUGAUAAAAAGGAGAUAGAAAUUAUAAGUGAAAAACCAAGUUAUAGGUGGAAGAAAAUUACUAUAGAAGACAAAAUGGUUGCAAUGGAGAACGUAAAGACGGGACUCACUCCUUGCAGUACAGUAGCUGGCUCCAAGAUUACGUUAAGUAAAUAUGAUAAAGAAGCAGGAAAAUCGCAAUCCAGUCUAUGGCAGGCUGAAGCUCAAGCAAAAGAAGGAGCGAAAAAUCUAGUAUUACGUAGAGUGCAAAGGCAAGAGACAAACUCCUGUCAUUAUAAAGAAAGGCUUGAAAAUCUCCAGAAAAAUAUAAAUCAACUAAUAGAAAUGGCGGACGACUUGGAAGGUACAUUGAGCAACGUGGAUAAGUUUAUAGAAAAAUGUGAAAUUGUCAAACGUAAAAUCGAAGCAUUAAGUUGCUCUUGCGUAGAAGAUCAGUCAGAUACACCAUGCAAACCGACAGACUACUUAAACUUUAACCUACAACCUACCUCAACGUUUCCACAAUCAGGAAACGAUAGAUCAAGAGGACAAUCAGCUAGCCAGAAACAAUCACAUGAAUCGAACGUAGAAGACAUAUCGUUACAAACUUCGUCAGCAGCAACCUCGUCAGGAGUAUCAUGUCCUCAUUCAAGUUGUGCCAAUUGCGCAGGAAGACCAUCUGUCGGCGAUAAUCCAUUACUAGCAUCGCUAGAAGUAAGUGAAAGAAUACUAGUAGACAGACCUAUGGCACAAUCAGCAACAGGACCAGAAGCACACGCACAAAUGUCGACUAGCGCGUAUGAGAUAAAACCUGAACUCAAAGGGACUUACUCACACUACGACAAGGAAUACAAAGAAAUAAGUAAAGUUUCAAGGACCAUGAAUUCGGAUGGAAGUAUAAGCGAGGAGAGACAAGUUGUAGCAAUUAAAACUGAAAGACAGAAUCGUCCACGUCCUGGUUUUAAAGAUCGUGGGUCGAAGGACAAUACAUGUACAAAUUCUUGUGCCAGAAGAACUAGUGAAUGUGGAUAUAGUGGUGCGCAGGAAAAUAGUGACAACUUCAAAAACAGCAGCAGUGGUUACAGCAGUCAAGCAGGUCCCAGUUUUGAAAAUAAAUAUGCUGUAGACCCUGGAAUCUGUAGUGGCUGUAGCAAGCGCAUAUCUACUCCAUAUGAUGAAAUAUUACCAUGGCAAGAUGUAUCUGUCCCAGAAACUCCGGUCUGUUGCCCUAAUGAACAAUUGCCUUCUUCAAACCAAAACUUGGCGAAACCGUGUUCAUGUUUAAAAGAUGCGAAGACAUGGACGAAACAAACGGAUUCUGUUCUAGUAGGUUCAAAUAUAUUACUUCCUUGCGAGUCGAAAGCUGUGUGCAAUUCUGAUUCAGAAGUUGUCCCCAAGCGUGUAUCAUUAUCUACGUCUAUGCAAUCAUGCUGGACCGAUCCUGCAGUGAAAAGUAUGUCAAUAGACAAAACGACGGAUUGUGUACCUUGUUGUAAAGGAAAUAACCGAACAAAUAAUAGAAAAGAUACUGCUACUUCUUGGAAGAGCUAUGAAGGAGGCUCGAGUCCAAUUGAGCACAGAAACCAUUGUAAAUGUUCGAAUUCUCAUCGUUAUGACAACUUCAAGGUUUUAUCAAAACCAGUUGGCGAUCUUGAAAACACUAGCCAUGGCAGCGAGAUCAUCCUUAAAGGUAGUAUACUCAAUGCUCUGAGGAGACUUCUCUUGCCUUCACACAGAGCAAUAGAACCUGGUGAAUCUCCAAAUAUAAGUCCGAAUUCAAGAAGCCGCUGUUCAUGUAUCGGUUGCCAGUCAAAAUUUUCAACAUCAUCCAAAAAAUUCGGACCCAAAACUGUGCUAAACUCUUUACUGUUCACGUAUGCUACCCAAAUAGCUUAUGAAGAAGGUAAAGAUAUGCCAGCUCUGCCACCGAACCAAUCUAUUUCUGAAGAGUCGUGCAUAUCCUGUGGUACUCUUGGAACACUUUCAGUCAAGUCUGGUAAUCGGCCCGCAGGAUCAUCAGCACAUGAUAGUCAAAAUUCACGAAAAAGUUCUCGCCACAGCGUAUUCUCUGGGUGUAGGGCUGCAUGCUCUUUAUUAGCGAAAAGUAUUAGAGGAAAGUGUACGUCCCCAAAACCGGCUGAAGUGUGUUGUCCUAAACCUAAACCUUCUUUGCCGAAGCAAGUUUCUGCACCAAGACCAGCUAAGCCUAAACGGAAAAAUGCUUCUACUUGUACAAGAGCAUCGGACAGAUAUGACUGCAGAACUCUGAGGUCAUUAAAGAGGGUUCAUCCUUGUGCAAAGAUCAGAAGGCAGGUCUGCACGUGUCAUUCAGACACUCAUUUGCUCAUUCAAGACGAUCCAUAUUGUUUAGUAACUAGAGCUACGUCUUGUAGCGGAGCGCACUACUAUUGUUUUCAUUGAAACAGUCAGAAUUUAUGAAACGUUUAUGUAAUUUGUCAUUUCAAACAUUUUCAGUACUUUUCAUGUUGAUGCGUUAGGGAGAUCAAAAGAUUUUAUGAUGAUCACUAUUUUUUACCAUGUGGCAAAAUAAA